rnacentral:rRNA from 1 species
UACGUAGGGGGCUAGCGUUGUCCGGAAUCAUUGGGCGUAAAGCGCGUGUAGGCGGUCCGGUAAGUCCGCUGUGAAAGUCGGGGGCUCAACCCUCGGAUGCCGGUGGAUACUGUCGGGCUUAAGUACGGAAGAGGCGAGUGGAAUUCCUGGUGUAGCGGUGAAAUGCGCAGAUAUCAGGAGGAACACCAAUUGCGAAGGCAGCUCGCUGGGACGUUACUGACGCUGAGACGCGAAAGCGUGGGGAGCAAACAGG